CACGUAGGGUGCGAGCGUUGUCCGGAAUUAUUGGGCGUAAAGAGCUCGUAGGCGGUGUGUCGCGUCGGCCGUGAAAACCUGCAGCUUAACUGUGGGCGUGCGGUCGAUACGGGCAUCACUGGAGUUCGGCAGGGGAGACUGGAAUUCCUGGUGUAGCGGUGAAAUGCGCAGAUAUCAGGAGGAACACCGGUGGCGAAGGCGGGUCUCUGGGCCGUAACUGACGCUGAGGAGCGAAAGCGUGGGGAGCGAACAGG
rnacentral:rRNA from 1 species